CAUUCUAUCAAACUCUCAUUUCUCUCAAGCGCUUCACCUCGAAGCUUAAUUCUCUCUGGCUGACUAAUCCGAAGCCACGACGGUGGUUCUCGUUUCAGAUGCUCUGCCGGUCAGACGGGAUUCUUCACUCGGCUUGGCAGGCUGCUCAAGGAGAAGGCCAAGAGCGAUGUUGAGAAGGUCUUCUUUGGCUUCUCAAAGACUCGUGACAACCUUGCUGUUAUCGAUGAGUUUCUUCUGUACUGGAACCUCGCGGAAAUCGAUAGAGUUCUCGAAGAACUCGAAGAGGUCUGUCUUCUGCUCCUGUAUUCCCUGUAGUUUUAUGUUUGUGUCAAUGAAAGGAAAAUAGUAAUGAUCAUGAAUUAUUGGAUUAUUUGAACUCAAAUUCGUGAAAACUAAUCUACUAUUCUCUUAAGCUUUCUUUUCCAGUGUGUGAAUUCAACCGAGAUGUAAUGCGAUUUUAGUUUAUAUUUGUUUCUUCUCUGGCUUCUCAAAGACUCGUGACAAUCUUGCUGUUAUCGAUGAGUUUCUUCUGUACUGGAACCUCGCGGAAAUCGACGGAGUUCUCGACGAACUCGAAGAGGUCCUUAUUUACGAGGAUGAACCUAAAUCCUAUACUCUUUCAGAACUGAAAUUUUGUAUGGCUCGAAUGUUUUGUAAUUUGGCUAUGCCGUUAUAUAUUGAUAGAGGCAUUAUUGGUGUCUGAUUUCGGGCAAAUGAUCGCACCAUUAAGAUCGUGGAGAGCUUGCGUGACCACAUCAGCAGGAAAGCCUUAAUCGAGUAGUGAAACAAAGGAUGCAUUAAAGAAGAAUGUUUUGGCGCUUUCGACAGGGAAGGGAGCAAAACUGACCUUCAACUCUGAUUCCGGUUUGCUUUCUUUAUAGCUUGAUGGAAGAGUUAAUAGCAUGUAAGAAAGCUGUGGGCAAAGUUAUUUCAGGGGCACCGAAUGGCUGCCAACCAUGAUAUUGGUUUGCAAUAAUAGAAGCACAGAAGUUGUCGCUGCCUGCCAUUCUUUUUGCUGAGCAUGUGGAAAUGUAGAAUGCUGAAAAAAAUGCAUGGU